CUGCCCAGUGACUAAAUUCAACGGCCGCGGUAUCCUAACCGUGCAAAGGUAGCAUAAUAACUUGCCUAUUAAUUGUAGGCUAGAAUGAACGGAUAAACGAAAUAUAGACUGUCUCAAUUAGAGUACUAAAAACUAUUCCCUAUACGAAGAAAAAUAGAUAAAAUAGAAGGACAAGAAGACCCUAUAGAGCUUUAUUCAAAUAAUAGGAAUAAACUAUUAAUGAAUUCGGUUGGGGCGACCAAGGAACAUCAAUCAUCCUAAAGUUAAAAGAUAUAUUAAUCAAUACAUUGACCCUUUAAAAGAUCAAAAGAACAAGCUACCUUAGGGAUAACAGGCUAAUCCUAUUUAAGAGUCCAUAUCGACAAUAGGGGUUGGCACCUCGAUGUUGCGCUUAGGGUAUCUAUAUAGCGCAAAAGUUAUAUAAAGAUGGUUUGUUCAACCAAUAAUUCCCU
rnacentral:rRNA from 1 species